rnacentral:rRNA from 1 species
GAUGAACGCUGGCGGCGUGCUUAACACAUGCAAGUCGAACGGUGAAGCCAAGCUUGCUUGGUGGAUCAGUGGCGAACGGGUGAGUAACACGUGAGCAACCUGCCCUGGACUCUGGGAUAAGCGCUGGAAACGGCGUCUAAUACUGGAUAUGAGACGUGAUCGCAUGGUCGUGUUUGGAAAGAUUUUUCGGUCUGGGAUGGGCUCGCGGCCUAUCAGCUUGUUGGUGAGGUAAUGGCUCACCAAGGCGUCGACGGGUAGCCGGCCUGAGAGGGUGACCGGCCACACUGGGACUGAGACACGGCCCAGACUCCUACGGGAGGCAGCAGUGGGGAAUAUUGCACAAUGGGCGAAAGCCUGAUGCAGCAACGCCGCGUGAGGGAUGACGGCCUUCGGGUUGUAAACCUCUUUUAGCAGGGAAGAAGCGAAAGUGACGGUACCUGCAGAAAAAGCGCCGGCUAACUACGUGCCAGCAGCCGCGGUAAUACGUAGGGCGCAAGCGUUAUCCGGAAUUAUUGGGCGUAAAGAGCUCGUAGGCGGUUUGUCGCGUCUGCUGUGAAAUCCCGAGGCUCAACCUCGGGCCUGCAGUGGGUACGGGCAGACUAGAGUGCGGUAGGGGAGAUUGGAAUUCCUGGUGUAGCGGUGGAAUGCGCAGAUAUCAGGAGGAACACCGAUGGCGAAGGCAGAUCUCUGGGCCGUAACUGACGCUGAGGAGCGAAAGGGUGGGGAGCAAACAGGCUUAGAUACCCUGGUAGUCCACCCCGUAAACGUUGGGAACUAGUUGUGGGGACCAUUCCACGGUUUCCGUGACGCAGCUAACGCAUUAAGUUCCCCGCCUGGGGAGUACGGCCGCAAGGCUAAAACUCAAAGGAAUUGACGGGGACCCGCACAAGCGGCGGAGCAUGCGGAUUAAUUCGAUGCAACGCGAAGAACCUUACCAAGGCUUGACAUAUACGAGAACGGGCCAGAAAUGGUCAACUCUUUGGACACUCGUAAACAGGUGGUGCAUGGUUGUCGUCAGCUCGUGUCGUGAGAUGUUGGGUUAAGUCCCGCAACGAGCGCAACCCUCGUUCUAUGUUGCCAGCACGUAAUGGUGGGAACUCAUGGGAUACUGCCGGGGUCAACUCGGAGGAAGGUGGGGAUGACGUCAAAUCAUCAUGCCCCUUAUGUCUUGGGCUUCACGCAUGCUACAAUGGCCGGUACAAAGGGCUGCAAUACCGUGAGGUGGAGCGAAUCCCAAAAAGCCGGUCCCAGUUCGGAUUGAGGUCUGCAACUCGACCUCAUGAAGUCGGAGUCGCUAGUAAUCGCAGAUCAGCAACGCUGCGGUGAAUACGUUCCCGGGUCU